GNCUNGCACAGUGAUCCGGUNCAUCGGUCGCAGGCCUNCUAACCGUGCGAAGGUAGCGUAAUCACUUGUUCUCUAAUUGUGGACUAGUAUGAACGGCACCACGAAGGUUAUACUGUCUCCUUUCUCUAAUCAGUGAAACUAAUCUCCCCGUGAAGAAGCGGGGAUAAAAAUAUAAGACGAGAAGACCCUAUGGAGCUUUAAACAGCAUAGCAAUUGUUACAUUAACAUAAAACUUUUCUGAAUAAUUAAAAUUUUAUUAGACAAUUUGACUAUGAGUUUNUGGUUGGGGUGACCGCGGAGCAUAACACAACCUCCAUGCUGAAAGAACCUUCUUCUWAGCUAAGAACUACCCAUCUAAUCAUCAANACAUUGNNAUNCAUUGAUCCAAUANACUUGNUCAUCGAACCAAGNUACCCUAGGGAUNACAGCGCAAUCCACUCCGAGAGCUCCUAUCGNCAUAGNGGGUUNGCGACCUNGAUGUUCCANCUGGGUAUCNCAAGUGAUACAUGNGCUGAGCUCAAGNUCGAUCCUG
rnacentral:rRNA from 1 species